UACGGGGGGGGCAAGCGUUGUUCGGAAUUACUGGGCGUAAAGGGCUCGUAGGCGGCCAACUAAGUCAGGCGUGAAAUCCCUCGGCUUAACCGGGGAACUGCGUCUGAUACUGGAUGGCUUGAGUUUGGGAGAGGGAUGCGGAAUUCCAGGUGUAGCGGUGAAAUGCGUAGAUAUUGGGAGGAACACCAGUAGCGAAGGCGGCUCACUGGACCGGAACUGACGCUGAGGCGCGAAAGCGUGGGGAGCGAACAGG
rnacentral:rRNA from 1 species